UUAAGCGACUAAGCGUACACGGUGGAUGCCCUGGCAGUCAGAGGCGAUGAAGGACGUGCUAAUCUGCGAAAAGCGUCGGUAAGGUGAUAUGAACCGUUAUAACCGGCGAUGUCCGAAUGGGGAAACCCAGUGCAAUUCGUUGCACUAUCGUUAACUGAAUACAUAGGUUAACGAGGCGAACCGGGGGAACUGAAACAUCUAAGUACCCCGAGGAAAAGAAAUCAACCGAGAUUCCCCCAGUAGCGGCGAGCGAACGGGGAGCAGCCCAGAGUCUGAAUCAGCUUGUGUGUUAGUGGAACGGUCUGGAAAGUCCGACGGUACAGGGUGAUAGUCCCGUACACCAAAAUGCACAGGCUGUGAACUCGAAGAGUAGGGCGGGACACGUGGUAUCCUGUCUGAAUAUGGGGGGACCAUCCUCCAAGGCUAAAUACUCCUGACUGACCGAUAGUGAACCAGUACCGUGAGGGAAAGGCGAAAAGAACCCCGGCGAGGGGAGUGAAAAAGAACCUGAAACCGUGUACGUACAAGCAGUGGGAGCACCUUCGGGUGUGACUGCGUACCUUUUGUAUAAUGGGUCAGCGACUUAUAUUCUGUAGCAAGGUUAACCGUAUAGGGGAGCCGCAGGGAAACCGAGUCUUAACUGGGCGUUAAGUUGCAGGGUAUAGACCCGAAACCCGGUGAUCUAGCCAUGGGCAGGUUGAAGGUUGGGUAACACUAACUGGAGGACCGAACCGACUAAUGUUGAAAAAUUAGCGGAUGACUUGUGGCUGGGGGUGAAAGGCCAAUCAAACCGGGAGAUAGCUGGUUCUCCCCGAAAGCUAUUUAGGUAGCGCCUCGUGAAUUCAUCUUCGGGGGUAGAGCACUGUUUCGGCUAGGGGGUCAUCCCGACUUACCAACCCGAUGCAAACUACGAAUACCGAAGAAUGUUAUCACGGGAGACACACGGCGGGUGCUAACGUCCGUCGUGAAGAGGGAAACAACCCAGACCGCCAGCUAAGGUCCCAAAGUCAUGGUUAAGUGGGAAACGAUGUGGGAAGGCACAGACAGCCAGGAUGUUGGCUUAGAAGCAGCCAUCAUUUAAAGAAAGCGUAAUAGCUCACUGGUCGAGUCGGCCUGCGCGGAAGAUGUAACGGGGCUAAACCAUGCACCGAAGCUGCGGCAGCGACACUAUGUGUUGUUGGGUAGGGGAGCGUUCUGUAAGCCUGCGAAGGUGUGCUGUGAGGCAUGCUGGAGGUAUCAGAAGUGCGAAUGCUGACAUAAGUAACGAUAAAGCGGGUGAAAAGCCCGCUCGCCGGAAGACCAAGGGUUCCUGUCCAACGUUAAUCGGGGCAGGGUGAGUCGACCCCUAAGGCGAGGCCGAAAGGCGUAGUCGAUGGGAAACAGGUUAAUAUUCCUGUACUUGGUGUUACUGCGAAGGGGGGACGGAGAAGGCUAUGUUAGCCGGGCGACGGUUGUCCCGGUUUAAGCAUGUAGGCUGGUUAUCCAGGCAAAUCCGGAUAAUCAAGGCUGAGGUGUGAUGACGAGGCACUACGGUGCUGAAGUAACAAAUGCCCUGCUUCCAGGAAAAGCCUCUAAGCAUCAGGUAACAUCAAAUCGUACCCCAAACCGACACAGGUGGUCAGGUAGAGAAUACCAAGGCGCUUGAGAGAACUCGGGUGAAGGAACUAGGCAAAAUGGUGCCGUAACUUCGGGAGAAGGCACGCUGGUGUGUAGGUGAAGUCCCUGCGGAUGGAGCUGAGACCAGUCGAAGAUACCAGCUGGCUGCAACUGUUUAUUAAAAACACAGCACUGUGCAAACACGAAAGUGGACGUAUACGGUGUGACGCCUGCCCGGUGCCGGAAGGUUAAUUGAUGGGGUUAUCCGUAAGGAGAAGCUCUUGAUCGAAGCCCCGGUAAACGGCGGCCGUAACUAUAACGGUCCUAAGGUAGCGAAAUUCCUUGUCGGGUAAGUUCCGACCUGCACGAAUGGCGUAAUGAUGGCCAGGCUGUCUCCACCCGAGACUCAGUGAAAUUGAACUCGCUGUGAAGAUGCAGUGUACCCGCGGCAAGACGGAAAGACCCCGUGAACCUUUACUAUAGCUUGACACUGAACAUUGAGCCUUGAUGUGUAGGAUAGGUGGGAGGCUUUGAAGCGUGGACGCCAGUCUGCGUGGAGCCAACCUUGAAAUACCACCCUUUAAUGUUUGAUGUUCUAACGUUGGCCCCUGACCGGGGUUGCGGACAGUGUCUGGUGGGUAGUUUGACUGGGGCGGUCUCCUCCCAAAGCGUAACGGAGGAGCACGAAGGUUAGCUAAUCCUGGUCGGACAUCAGGAGGUUAGUGCAAUGGCAUAAGCUAGCUUGACUGCGAGCGUGACGGCGCGAGCAGGUGCGAAAGCAGGUCAUAGUGAUCCGGUGGUUCUGAAUGGAAGGGCCAUCGCUCAACGGAUAAAAGGUACUCCGGGGAUAACAGGCUGAUACCGCCCAAGAGUUCAUAUCGACGGCGGUGUUUGGCACCUCGAUGUCGGCUCAUCACAUCCUGGGGCUGAAGUAGGUCCCAAGGGUAUGGCUGUUCGCCAUUUAAAGUGGUACGCGAGCUGGGUUUAGAACGUCGUGAGACAGUUCGGUCCCUAUCUGCCGUGGGCGCUGGAGAAUUGAGGGGGGCUGCUCCUAGUACGAGAGGACCGGAGUGGACGCAUCACUGGUGUUCGGGUUGUCAUGCCAAUGGCACUGCCCGGUAGCUAAAUGCGGAAGAGAUAAGUGCUGAAAGCAUCUAAGCACGAAACUUGCCCCGAGAUGAGUUCUCCCUGAGACUAUAAGUCUCCUGAAGGAACGUUGAAGACGACGACGUUGAUAGGCCGGGUGUGUAAGCGCAGCGAUGCGUUGAGCUAACCGGUACUAAUGAACCGUGAGGCUUAACCUU
rnacentral:rRNA from 1 species